UCCAGAUGCACGUGCCUAGAUAUCAUUUGCACGUGAACAUGAGUUUUCCUGCAUGUGCAGUGGCAAGAAGAUAACAAAGACAAACAGAACAUUGUUUAUGCCAAAUAGUAUCAGUAGGGAGCAGAGAGUAGGGAGAAAACCCAGAAAUCACCAUGCCAGAAAUGGAGGGGGGAAAUGUGUCAAAGAUAAAAGGAAGAGCUCAUUGCUCCCUGCCUAAAUUUCAGAGAGAAACACGUUUUUUAGCUGAGAAGUAAGAGUUCUCCUGGAUUACAGUAAAUAACAUAAAGAUCGUCCAACAUGACAGCAAUACUCAUCUCCUUAACUUCAGCCAUUUAAAGAUAAGUAUCUUCUAGGAUAUUUCAGAUGCGUAUCUUUGGGUGGGAAUGAAGGCCAGUGUUGUCUUAUUUCUCUAAUGACUCUAGAGGGAGCCUAGAGGAUUAGUUUCAGAUAGACAACUCAAUGGCUGAAGUUAGGUGAAAUUAAUCCCAUUUUUACUGUCCAUUCCCUGUUGUUGCUCAGACUCUUGUUGAAGACACUGCAUACUUGUUAACUCCAAGAGAGUUUCUAGUGAGCUAAUAAAGGAAGGAAUUUAUUAUUUCAGAAAAGGAUAAACAUCAAGAUCCUUACUCCCAGAAAACAGUCUUGAAAAAAACAGAAGGCAAUCAGUGGGCUGCUACAUGGACAGAAGAGUCUCGGAAUAUCAAAUUGGUCCAGCAUUUCUGUGAGAUGUCAGCAAUUUUUAACUGAGCUUUGCCUGGAGAUAUUCAACUGGUUGGAACUAAUCCAUUUCCAGAAGAAGUGAAUCAGUGUCUAGCAAUUCACUAAGCCGUUUGCCCAAGUGCUGGUUGCUAAAAAUCUGUGCUGGUUGCUAAAAAUCUGCAUUUCAUUGCGUUCGUGAGGGUAGAGUCCACCGGCACGCACAAGUGCAUCCAAGGAGGCAGCCUCCGAAGGCUUGUUUGAGCUGAUGGAUGAAAGUCCUGUAAAUAUUAAGUUACUGCAAGAUUUGUGAAAACAUGUUGCUGAGUGGAGAGGAAAAAUUCCAGAAAAGAACCACCCCCAAGAGAGUGUUUGCCAUGUGAAAUCGGUCACCAAAGAAACUAUGGGUUGGAGCUGCAGGAAACAAAAGUUUGUAAGGUCUGGUGUUCACAGAACGGCUUUUUCUUUUUCUUUUGGUUAAAGUAGAAAUUGUUUCCCUACAUCCACCCCAAAAUUAAAUAAAAUGUAUUUAUUCUGAAGGAUGAGUAAGCUGUAAUUCUGCCACUGCAUUGUGGUCUGGGGAGUUUGAGUGGAUAAAGCCUAAUUUAGAACCAUGCUAUAACAGAAAACUAGAGAAGCCAAAAAUCCCAGUCCUAUAGUGAAAUAUGCUUAAACACAUUUUUAGUAUUUUUUUUUUAGUGGUCACCUACUUUUGCAAGGUUGCUAUCAGCAACUCAAGGUCACCCAGACAGAAGUUAUGAGCACAUGUUAUUGGAAGACUCUUGAGAAAACCUAAAUGUAAAAGACAAUUACAACACUGGAGGCUUUGAAGGAAGUGCAUGAUAUAACUGGGUUUGCUGUUGACACCUUGUUCUUCAUGAUGGAAAAUUCACAAAGGCUGGAGAAAGCUCCAACAAAGCUGAGAAGGAUGUUACAACAGCACCUCACCAAGAACAAUGUGCUUUGCUCAACACUGUAGUUAUGCUGUGUCAAUACAUCAAAACAAGUCUGUUUCUCAUGAACCCAACUCUUGCUAGAGGAUAUUGAGAAUCAAAAAGUGGAACCAGGAAAACAUUACUUAUGUUUUGCAAGAUGUAGCAGUAUUCCAUCAGUACACUGCAGAAGAAUAAAGCCGUAGCAGUGGUGAAAAAAUACCUUUCUCCAGUCAAACACCAGAGACAAUAGAUAAUGAAGAAAGCAGGGUGCAGUAGAAUAUUUGGCUUUGGCAAAACUGAAUUGUUACAUAUCCAAAUAGUGUAAAUCUGAUCAGCUUAUGUGUGCCAGUCAUCAAGAGCAAAACUAGUGUUCUUUUAUCUUUUUUAUUUCUUUCCUUUUACUGUAAAAAUAGUGGAAAAAACAAAUUUAUUUCAAAACUUCUUAUGUCCUUUGUGAUAGUAGUAAUGGAUAUAUCCAUUAAAAUCCACUCAGAGCAUGAGAGAUAUAGGGUGGAAUUGACUAGAAGUAAGACCUUUUUUCGUGUCAGCUUUGGGAAAUCAUCAGAAAUACCAGAAAAAAAUGUGCAACUGUAUAAUUAAAUGAAGAAUGGAAAUUU